ACCUCCUCUUCUCGUCCACAUCCUUAGAGUCAUCGGGACCGAAUCGCCACCCGCCAGCCGCCGCCAGCCGGCCGCAUCCCCGUUGCAUCUUCCUUUGGCGGAAGCGGCACUCCAUCCAGUCUCGCCGAGCCUUCGGCCGAGGACUUCCAUCAGGUAGCUCUAGGAAUCCCCUCUUCCCCAACCCCCCGCUGCCCCCAUCCCCCGUCCCCUCCUCCAUAUCACCCUCCUUGAGUCAUCGUACUGGACUCCGACGAGCUUCCAUCGCCGCACAUGGAGGCCCUGCUGCCUACGGCGGCUGCGCGAAGCCUCCCGUGGCAAGAGUUGCCUCCGCGCACAGACGCCGGCGAGCUAUCGCGGGCCAGCAAACAAGUUAUACCGCCCCGUUCGCCAUUCUUGAGCUUCUUGAAGUGCAGUUCUUCAUCCGUGCUGUGAGCGGACGCCGGCGAGACGACACGAGCUGAGCCGAGGCAACAAUACGUUAAGGUCUUGAGAAGAGUGGUUUACACCAACGGAUCCAUGCAACAAUGCUAGCAGAAGCUGAGUAGCCCAUAGGCCAUGGCGGCGACGAAGACUGUUUUUUUUUUUUUUGUCAUGGAAGAACUAACACCCCUUUUCUAUUCUUUUUUAUAAAAAUUAAUGAUUAUAAUUAAGACCAAAAGAGCCAAUUUUUGGGAUGAGGAAAAUUGGUUCAAACUUCAAACCAAAUACCUCUUGCUUCUUUUUGUCUUUUUGGGAUGUAACUUCAUCUAAGAUUUCCGAUAUUUUUCCUCUGUCGAAUACUUUUAAUAGCAAGAAUGUAUAGAAAAGCUGAAUAAGAUACAAAAAUUUGGGGACACUAUGGACACACUGCAGAAAGUUGCAAACUUUGUCA